AGAGUGUAAAGGCACAAGGGAGCUUGACUGUGAGACUUACCAGUCGAGCAGGUACGAAAGUAGGGCUUAGUGAUCCGGUGGUUCCGCAUGGAAGGGCCAUCGCUCAACGGACAAAAGCUACCCUGGGGAUAACAGGCUUAUCUCCCCCAAGAGUCCACAUCGACGGGGAGGUUUGGCACCUCGAUGUCGGCUCAUCGCAUCCUGGGGCUGUAGUCGGUCCCAAGGGUUGGGCUGUUCGCCCAUUAAAGCGGUACGCGAGCUGGGUUCAGAACGUCGUGAGACAGUUCGGUCCCUAUCCGUCGCGGGCGUAGGAAAUUUGAGAGGAGCUGCCCUUAGUACGAGAGGACCGGGGUGGACGUACCUCUGGUGUAUCAGUUGUUCCGCCAGGAGCAUCGCUGAGUAGCUAUGUACGGAUGAGAUAAACGCUGAAAGCAUCUAAGUGUGAAACUCGCCUCGAGAUGAGAUUUCCCAUUCUUUAUGAAGUAAGACCCCUCAGAGAUGAUGAGGUAGAUAGGCUAGAAGUGGAAGUGCGG
rnacentral:rRNA from 1 species